AUGAUUUUGCAUCCAUUGUUGCAGGUCUGUGAAGAAUUUUUUUUAAUUAGAUUAUCCCUCUAUUGGCUGUUCGAUAUGUAUGCAAAUUUGGAUAACUUAGUGCUAGGAGUUUCGCAGGUACUUGUUAAUUGUCCUGCCAUAAUAUUUUUCUUACACAUCUUUCAUCUUCAAAAUCAUAAGCAAGUUGGUACAAAAAUUGUAAAUGUCUACCUGAAGUGUUCAAUCAUUGUUAUUUCUCUUUUCCCACUUGUUUUCAAUUUUUGGCCAUUUUUUAUUGUCAUUUACAAUUUGUCAUGA